AAACCCUCUUGCUUCCUCUCUGCUCUGAUGUCAUGUCAGUUUAUUCUACCAAAUACCUUCCCUAUGGACUAUUUUGGUCUGGGUUCAACUAUGUCACAAAAAUGCACCUGACACUGAUUUUUUUGAAUAUAUUAUUUUUAAUUUUACCUCCCCCCCUCCUUUUUUUCGAUAUUUUCUCAUCGCUGGAACUCCCCAACGCGAGGCGAAAGUGGAAUCAUGCCCGAAACAUGACCCACCUAACCGCGCUCCUUAACACACGCCACCUUAACCCGGAAACCAGCCGCACCAAUGUGUCGGAUGAAACACGUUCCCUUAUGCACAUUCCAUGAUCGAACGUUCUAAACACACUUCUUACCGGCAAAAAAAGAAGUUGUUACCGACGAUAUAACGUUACUACCACUAUGUCGCAGUUUUUUUACUAGGUGUCUUCAGGACUUGCCUUAAAUUAAUAUGAAUGAUGUACAUCAAAUUGUUAAGUCAGCCUCCGAGACUCCAGCUAACAAGAAUGAAAAGGGGUUCAAGAUGUAUACCUUUAUAGGAAGCUAACGUUACAUAGAUAACUAUGAAGAUGGUGUUAAAGCACGCCGUACCAGUGAUAGUGGUCCAGAGCCACUGCUCCUGUGUUGCAGGAAGUGCUAUGUGCAAUCAUCUGGUGGCCCUUCUUUACCAGACUCAACUAAACAUUCCUGCUGCACCACCAGUUCACAGCUGCACAGACACAGAAUAGUGUUGGCACAAGCCAAGAACACUUGUGAGUCUAUCAAUAUCCAUAAAAAAAUGCACCUGAAAAGUAUUCAGCCUAUGUAACAGUAAAUCCUUGUUAAUUAGGGUGUGAAGACAGUUCCGGUUGAUGGGAUAGUUCCGUAAACCUACAAACUCGUGUGCUGAUGGAAUAAGAUAAGUUGGAGGUUCCUAGAAUGGAAACAUUUUAGAAAACAUUUUCUUGUGAUUGUUUUUGUAUCCAGAUGAUGAGCUUAAACAGUGGCGUCUUUACGAUGUAAUGACACAUUUUGGGACAAAGACUGGGGGGAAAUAUAUAAUCUAUAAAUCUGUAUUUUAAUUAAUUUUAUUUGAACUUUCGGGCUUGUGCUGUUUCUGGAAAAGUUACAUGAGUCUUAGUCAUAGUAAUCUCGCCAACCUGGUGUUAAGGUUUUAAAAUGUUUUGCAGAAGUUCUCUCUACAUAGCACUCAAUGGAUACAUGCCUGACAUGGACCUUCUCCGCGUCUCAGAAACGUAUGCCAACUUUUCUCUACUUACUUCCCCUCUUGUGACAACAAUGGAAAUGUCAGCUGACGUGCCCCUGGUUGAAUCCGCCUUUGGGCCAGUGCAAGCUGGUAGUGUGCUGUCCUAUCAGCUUCCACAGCCAAAGACCAUGGAAUUGUGAAGAUUACCGAUGCCCCUUCUCCACCAAUACUUCCAUUAGAUGGCUACAGGCUUCAGUCUUCCCAGUGUGCUUACGUCCUUAGCCAUCGGGAGCAGUUCCACGUCAAGGCAUUAGAGACAACCUACGAGAUGUCACAGAGAGUUGAGGUUGCAGCCCGGAAUGGCAUCAGCUCAGGAAAAUUAGAAUAACAUCCUCUCGUUUUCGAGAGGUUUGCCAUGUCCGGGGAGAGACCUCGGCUGACCACCUCGCUGAGCGAAUGUUCAAGGGAUCUGGUAUGCAGACCGUGGAGAUGAAGAGGGGGCUAGCCAUGGAGCCAGUGGCUGUACAGGAGUACUGCACACUGAAGAAUGUUAACUUAUUUCCGUGUGGCUUCAUAGUGCACCCAGAUGCUCCGUGGUUAGGAUCCUCUCCAGAUGGCAUCAUAUUUGAUCCCAGUGUGAGACCACACUUUGGACUCUUAGAGGUCAAGUGCCCAAAUGUACCAAGUUAUGUUGAGUGCCCUUACCUGAAGAUACAGAAUGGAGAGCUGAAGUUGAAGAGAUCUCAUGCUUACUACUAGGUGCAAGGUCAAAUCCUUCUCACAGGUUGUAGCUGGUGAGACUUUGUCAUCUGUGCACAGGAUGACAACCUAGUUGAAAGGAUAUAUAAAGAUCUACAGGUUUCAAAAACUAUAAGAGAGAAGGUUGACCACUUAUAUUUACCACUACUUGCAGAAGUGUCUCUCGCACCUGAAUGGAUCCCAUGCAUGGGUGCCAAGUUUAGUGGUUUCACAAAAAAUAAGUAUUGAUGUUCUUGUGAAGAAAACUAUAGUAGAAUAGAUUUGUUUAAAAAAAUGUAUUUCAGCAAAUGUUCAACAGUUCAGUUAAUCAAUUACACAUCUCCAACGUUGUAUUAAAUCUUGCAUUCUGGC